rnacentral:rRNA from 1 species
CGAAGCUGACGGUUCACGCCGCGUGAGGGAUGAAGGCCUCUGGGCUGUAAACCUCUUUUCUCAAGGAAGAAGAUCUGACGGUACUUGAGGAAUAAGCCACGGCUAAUUCCGUGCCAGCAGCCGCGGUAAUACGGGAGUGGCAAGCGUUAUCCGGAAUUAUUGGGCGUAAAGCGUCCGCAGGCGGCCGUACAAGUCUGUCGUUAAAGCGUGGAGCUUAACUCCAUUUAAGCGAUGGAAACUGUAAGGCUAGAGUGUGGUAGGGGCAGAGGGAAUUCCCGGUGUAGCGGUGAAAUGCGUAGAUAUCGGGAAGAACACCAGUGGCGAAGGCGCUCUGCUGGGCCAUAACUGACGCUCAUGGACGAAAGCCAGAGGAGCGAAAGGGAUUAGAUACCCCUGUAGUCCUGGCCGUAAACGAUGAACACUAGGUGUCGGGGGAAUCGAACCCCCCGGUGUCGUAGCCAACGCGUUAAGUGUUCCGACUGGGGAGUACGCACGCAAGUGUGAAACUCAAAGGAAUUGACGGG